UACGUAGGGGGCAAGCGUUUGUCCGGAUUUAUUGGGCGUAAAGAGCGUGUAGGCGGUUUUACAGGUCCGCUGUGAAACUCGAGGCUCAACCUCGAGCUGUCGGUGGAAACCGUAAGGCUAGAGUCCGGAAGAGGAGAGUGGAAUUCCUGGAUGUAGCGGUGAAAUGCGCAGAUAUCAGGAAGAACACCCGUGGCGGAAGGCGGC
rnacentral:rRNA from 1 species